rnacentral:rRNA from 1 species
UCCGGAGGGGACUAGCGUUGUUCGGAAUUACUGGGCGUAAAGCGCACGUAGGCGGAUUUGUAAGUCAGGGGUGAAAUCCCGGGGCUCAACCUCGGAACUGCCUUUGAUACUGCAAAUCUCGAGUCCGGAAGAGGUGAGUGGAAUUCCUAGUGUAGAGGUGAAAUUCGUAGAUAUUAGGAAGAACACCAGUGGCGAAGGCGGCUCACUGGUCCGGUACUGACGCUGAGGUGCGAAAGCGUGGGGAGCAAACAGG